ensembl:processed_transcript A430035B10Rik uncharacterized LOC110316005
ACCCCAGAGACAUUCUUUGUUAAGCACCAUAUGAUCCCCUUUACUGCCUCUUAAAGUGCCAUCAUAUUGUGAUUCCUCAAGGAAUUACUCCACUCCUUAGCUUAGAGUCGUCAGGAUCCAGUUAUUUCCCUAAAAGCCAUCGGUAGCCAAGCCCUUAGCGUGUGAGCCCUUGGUGACAGGUCAGCCCUUGGUGACAGGUCAGAUUCUAACCAGAACAGUAGGUUUCUGCUUUUACAUCAAAAGGCCACUGUUUAAUGAAGAUUUUUAAAAGGGUGAAGUGGUUGGCAGUGUCAUAUGAUGUGGAACAGGCUCUGUGUUGACUUUUACUGGGGGAAAUGUGAGCCUCUGCCCCCCCCCAAUAAGGUACCAAGCACAAACCAAAGAAAUGAUUCCACACAACUCUAGAUCAGUGAACCAAUAAAUUUAAUUGAGGUUACUUAUAGGAGUAUGGCUGAAAGAUUAUCUCCAGAAGGAUGGGAAUCUUAUAAAAAGACAGUCACCAAAGGAAACUAACUAUACUACCACAGAGGAGCUGUUGGUGAGUAUUUCUUGCCUUGUAAGUUUUCCUUCUGCUGCACAAGGGAAUGUCAACAGGCUCAGUCGGAGGGUGUCAUGUGACCAGCUCAUCAUGCUCCUGCCUCCAUUCUUUCUGGGCCAUAGUGGACUGCAUCCUUAAAAUAAAGGAUGCAUUCUCCUCCAGGACUGAUGUUAAUGAAUGCUUUUGGAGCAGGCAAGCUAUUGAGAGAGGAAAGAGGAGAAGACUGGAGACGCCUCAGCAUCUCCACUCGGUGGCACCACUCGGGGUGAAGUUGGAGAAACAGAUGCCAACAGGUCCCGGUAUUUCUUAAGACCUGCCAGAGACAGGCUUCUCAGAAAACAGAAAGAAUGCAUUUGGCCCUGCAAGAUUAAAGGACUCUUCGGGAGAACCAGACUUCUGUAGAUAGACUUUCCCAGGCUGCACAAGAGCCCACCUCAAUGAUGAGAGACAUGUCAGAUGCCUAGCCUGACUGUCUUUGUUCAUCUGUAAAAUCUGAUAAUUAAACUGGUUUAGCAAAAGACAUAAUAUUCAUAAUUGGAAUGAGUCUGCAUUUCCUAGGCCUGAUGAAUUUUUUAGAACUACAUUAAGUGGCUAACUGAAAACUUGAAGAUCAAAGAAAAGGAUCAGUCAUGCUUCUUGAGGUAAAAGGGUGUCUGACAGAAUCUGUUGCUCUGAAGACAUGAAAAUAAAGAAACAGGACUCACAUGAUGCCUCUCUUAUUCUACUCUAAGAAAGCGAUGGAAGGCAUGAUGAAACAAUCUCUACAGAAACAUAAAUGUCAAAAUGUGAGCAUGUUUGCCUUUAUUUCGGUCUAAAAAUAAAUAAAUAAAAUGUCAAAGAGUCUAGUU